rnacentral:rRNA from 1 species
UACGUAGGCAGCGAGCGUUGUCCGGAAUCACUGGGCGUAAAGGGCGCGUAGGCGGCUUGAUAAGCGUGCGGUGAAAGCCCGGGGCUCAACCCCGGGUCGGCCGUGCGAACUGUCGAGCUGGAGCACUGUAGAGGCAGGUGGAAUUCCGGGUGUAGCGGUGGAAUGCGUAGAGAUCCGGAAGAACACCGGUGGCGAAGGCGGCCUGCUGGGCAGUGGCUGACGCUGAGGCGCGACAGCGUGGGGAGCAAACAGG